rnacentral:tRNA from 1 species
GCCUGCCUGGCUCAGUCGGUAGAGCAUGUAACUCUCAAUCUCAGGGUUGUGAGUUCAAGCCUUGCAUUGGGCA